UACGUAGGGCGCAAGCGUUGUCCGGAAUUAUUGGGCGUAAAGAGCUCGUAGGCGGUCUGUCGCGUCUGCUGUGAAAACUCAGGGCUUAACCCUGAGCUUGCAGUGGGUACGGGCAGACUAGAGUGGCGGUAGGGGAGACUGGAAUUCCUGGUGUAGCGGUGAAAUGCGUAGAUAUCGAGAGGAACACCUGGCGGCGAAGGCGGGUUGCUGGGCUGACACGUGACGUGAGGAGCGAAAGCGUGGGUAGCAAACAGG
rnacentral:rRNA from 1 species